UCCAUAAUUCCAGCCGUGUGUUUGUUUAUGUUAGGAUAGCCCCUUCAUUAGCUAGUCUAGGAGGGGUCGUCCCUGCAGGUGGCUGGCUGCUCCAUCUCCAGCCCACACCCCAGGGCUCACAUCCAGCAAUAAAUGAGCUGGUUCUGGGACCGCCCACACCAGUCUUAGGACUCUGAUUGGACCCACACAGGUCACGUGCACAUCGUGAACCAAUCGCUGUUGAGCUCAGUGGCUCAGGGUUCUGACUGGCCCUGCCAGGAAACCUACCUAACAAUCAGCGGCCAUUAGUGCAGAGGGGCAAGACUGGCGCCACGAGGUGGGGACGCUUCUGUUGGCUCCCUCGACUGUUCUGGAAACUGGGAGGUCGCAGAGGGGCCACCCCUUCCUGAUACCCACAAGGAAACACUGUCGCUUCUCAUUCCACAAGUGCCCUAGAGCCUGUGUAGCAGCCCAAGCCCUGGGCAGAACUAUGGGAACAGAACUGUGGGACCGAGACCGUGGGAACAAGACUGUGGGAACGGGACCGUGGGAACGGGGCCGUGGGAACGGGGCCGUGGGAACAGGACCGUGGGAACGGGGCCGUGGGAACAGGACUGGCCGCAGGGCUGGACUCCCAGCUGAGACCCCACUCAGAGAUGCACCUGGCCUCCUGUGUGGGGAGGCGGGCUCAGCCCAGUGGGAGUCAGGGUCUCGGACGCCCUGUUCUUGGGUCCUGUCUGUGAAUUCUAGGGACUCAAGUUCAACGUGCUCUGUUGUCCUGAAGGGAUUUCCUGCUGUGACUCCCAAAAUGGGUGGUGGGUUUUACCUGCGUGAUUCCAGAGGUUGUGUUACUGCAUCCCAAGGCGCUGCGUAUGUCUCCUGGAUCUGAUUUGCUUCUCAUUUGUCUGUGCCCUGGCUCUGGCUACUGAGGACUCCAGUAGCUGAGUCACAGAUGCAGGGAAGCUCAGGCCAAGAAUGGAGCCAUUUUCCAGUGUCACCCUCACUCUCAGGAAAGGAUGUGGAGCUCCAGAGAAUGGUGGUGGCAGCCAGGAAUGUACAAAGCAGGAUCAGGCCUGAGUCGCUGUGACCUACCACUUCUCCUCUGAGAAAGGACUCUGGCAUACCUGAAAUGGAGGCAUGUUCUCCAUGGCUUCAAAUAUCAUCCACCAGCCCUUCUGUUCAGAGCUGCAAUCUGAAGACCCCUUCACCAGGGACCUGGCUGCAGCCUGCUCUGAAUGAGGAGAGGAGCAGUGGGCACUCUACAGUGAAUCACCGUGAUAAGAAAAUACAAGGCAUCUUUUGAAGAUGCCUUGGAGCCUCCUCUGUGUCUUUGAAAGUCUUUUGUUGGGGUCCAAAGUGGCUCCCGCCGGAGGUCAUGGCACUUGCGAAGGCGAGGUCAUCAGUUCAAGACUAACCUGAGCAACCUCAUAAGCUCAAACUGAUUGGCAAAAAAAAUAA